rnacentral:rRNA from 1 species
AUUAGGUAGUUGGUGAGGUAAAGGCUCACCAAGCCGACGAUCUGUAGCUGGUCUGAGAGGACGACCAGCCACACUGGGACUGAGACACGGCCCAGACUCCUACGGGAGGCAGCAGGUGGGAAUUUUGGACAAUGGGCGCAAGCCUGAUCCAGCAAUGCCGCGUGCAGGAUGAAGGCCUUCGGGUUGUAAACUGCUUUUGUACGGAACGAAACGGUGAGCUCUAAUACAGUUUGCUAAUGACGGUACCGUAAGAAUAAGCACCGGCUAACUACGUG